ACAGCAGCAGCCGCGGGAAUACGAAGGGUGCAGGCGUUAAUCGGAAUUACUGGGCGUAAAGCGUGCGUAGGCGGUGAGUUAAGUCUGCUGUGAAAUCCCCGGGCUCAACCUGGGAAUGGCAGUGGAUACUGGCCCGCUAGAGUGUGUCAGAGGAUGGUGGAAUUCCCGGUGUAGCGGUGAAAUGCGUAGAGAUCGGGAGGAACAUCAGUGGCGAAGGCGGCCAUCUGGGACAACACUGACGCUGAGGCACGAAAGCGUGGGGAGCAAACAGGUUUAGAGACCCCCGUAGUCCCUGUCUCUUAUAC
rnacentral:rRNA from 1 species